rfam:Oryza punctata chromosome 7, whole genome shotgun sequence.
CCUCUAGAUGAGGAAGAAAUGAUUGCAUAUAUAGUUAAUGGCCUAGAUGGUGAUUAUGAUUCAUUUGUAUCAUCACUUGGGAUGAGGGUUGAACCCAUCUCGGAGACGGAGCUAUAUGCCCAACUGUUAAAUUAUGAGA